UACUGAUUGCAAUGGCCAUUAUU
rnacentral:snRNA from 1 species